rnacentral:rRNA from 1 species
UACGUAGGGGCCUAGCGUUGUCCGGAUUUAUUGGGCGUAAAGGGCGCGUAGGCGGCGGGGUAAGUCGGGUGUGAAAUCUCAGGGCUCAACCCUGAAACUGCACUCGAUACUGCUCUGCUUGAGGACUGGAGAGGAGACUGGAAUUCACGGUGUAGCAGUGAAAUGCGUAGAUAUCGUGAGGAAGACCAGUGGCGAAGGCGGGUCUCUGGACAGUUCCUGACGCUGAGGCGCGAAGGCCAGGGGAGCAAACGGG